rnacentral:lncRNA from 10 species
CUCCAGCCUGCGCAAUAAGAGCAGAACUCUGUCUCAAAAAAAAUUCUUAAAUGGUCUUUUAAAAGUCAUUUCAACGAUAACAAGAAGAAAACUUAAUUGAUCAGCUUAACCCAUUUUUAUUGAGCCCUUAUCAGGGCAGGUACUGAUACCCCAAUAAUUUUAAGAACUGUUUUUGUCAAUGUUAAACAAUGUACUUACAUAAAAAAGAGGGCAUGGAGGAUUCCUCCCAGGACAGAAGUGUAGCUCUGCCAAGUAAAUGCUGCUCUCAGCAGCCCAGGGCCCUCCGCUUGCCCGGCAUUCCAGGUCCCUGGGCCACAGAACCCCGGGCUCAUUAUGUAUGACUGGGCUGAGCAGGAGGUGGUAGUCCCUGUGGCUCUGGAGUCCACCUGCUGGAAUCCAGACCCCAGCCCCACUUACUAGCCAUGGGGCGUCAGCAACACCG